rnacentral:tRNA from 1 species
GCGUUGGUGGUUCAGUGGUAGAACACCUGUUAGCCACUUAAGUGAUCCAGGUUCGAUUCCCAGUUGAUGCA